AGGCACACUUGAGUCAUGUUGUCUGUGGCUGUGCUCCUGCUGCUGGCAGCUGCUUCCUGUACAGUGGACAGUGUGGAGCUCCUCCAGCCAGGCUCAGUGCUGCUGCAGCCUGCUCAGGCUCUGUCCAUCAGCUGUCAGGUCUCUGGUUACUCUCUCACUGACAACAGCUAUGCCACAGGCUGGAUCAGACAGAGAGAGGGGAAACUCGAGUGGAUUUUCCAUCAGUGGGGAGGAGGUGGCUUCUACCAGAACAAUGCUCUGAAGAACAAGUUCAGCCUGAGCAGAGACACGUCUGCAGGAACAGUGACUAUUCAAGGACAGAGGCUGCAGCCUGAAGACUCAGCUGUUUAUUACUGUGUGCGACCACAGUGAUACUACGGCUACUUCGACUACUGGGGAAAAGGAACCCAGGU